AUUGAACGCUGGCGGCGUGCUUAACACAUGCAAGUCGAUCGGUAACGCGGGGGCAACCCUGGCGACGAGAGGCGGACGGGUGAGGAACGCUUGGGAAUCUGCCCUUCAGCGGGGGACAACACGGGGAAACUCGUGCUAAUACCGCAUACGCUCCACGGAGGAAAGCCGGGGACCGCAAGGCCUGGCACUGAAGGAUGAGCCCAAGUCGGAUUAGCUAGUUGGCGGGGUAACGGCCCACCAAGGCGACGAUCCGUAGCUGGUCUGAGAGGACGAUCAGCCACACUGGGACUGAGACACGGCCCAGACUCCGCCGGGAGGCAGCAGUGGGGAAUGUUGGACAAUGGGGGAAACCCUGAUCCAGCGACGCCGCGUGGGUGAAGAAGGCCUGCGGGUUGUAAAGCCCUUUCGGUAGGGACGAAAGCUCUCGACCUAACACGUCGGGAGGUUGACUUAACCUACAAAAGAAGCACCGGCUAACUCUGUGCCAGCAGCCGCCGUAAUAC
rnacentral:rRNA from 1 species